UUGCCCAUCGGGGCCACGGAUACCUGACCAUU
rnacentral:ncRNA from 1 species